UCUCUCGCAUCCUCUAAACUAGUAGAUGCAAUAGCAACUUGUUAGAGCUUCACUUUACAAUCUUAAGUUUUGAAACUAACUUUUUUUAUAUCUAUGACGAUUUUCCUCGAACAAGUAUUUUUCUUAUAAGUAAAAAUAUUCUUGUUCUUAGCAUCAUCAUUUUACCCUUUUUUUCUAGAUUUUAAAUUUGUUCUUUUGUUUUGUUUUUAUUCAU
rnacentral:lncRNA from 1 species